UCCGUUUAUGUCUUAUGGAGAAGUGAAUGUGGGAUUGUUUCUUAAACCCACAUCUCUUUAGUUUCGGACACAUUAAAGUCUAAAACGAGGAAGGGCUGAUGUUGUUUUUUGUUUAGAAAUAUGUUUAAAUUAAUGACUUUCCCAUCUCAGGUCCUCAGGACGUCUCUGUGUCUGAUGAACGGUGUGUUUUCAGCUUUACCAACCUGCCUGCUUUAGUGAUGAUCAUCUCCGUGCCGGCCUCGUGGAACUUCUUCCACAGCUCCCUCUCAUGAAGAACCACCUUUAUGUUCUCGAUGUUCUGCAGAGAGAACAAACAUUGCUGUUACACUGGACUCAAAGUAAUCCAUCCCUUCUCAGAGUAUCAGGAAUGAUUCCAGGGAAUUUAAGGAGUAUAAAACAGCAGCUGUAUGUUUGGGUCUGUACCUGGUCGGGCUCACUGGAGCUGGGGAUGCUGGGAGCGGUGGACAGGCCCAGUCUUGACUGGUCUGGAAGGAGAUCCGUCUCCUCGCCGCCACCGCCGUCGGUCAUACAUUCAUCCGUCACCGCGGGAACUUUCUCCUGCAGCAUCUCUGCAGGAUUACACAAAUGCUCAGCUGUCACGGAGAAAUGUCGGCUGCUCUUCUACCUGCCUGAUCUAAAAUCGGCUGAUGAAGUCCAGACUCUCCAGAACAACAAACACGAUCUCUCCUCUUUACUCUCUUUACACUCGCUUCUUUAAAACUCUUCUCUCAGCUUUCUUUCAGAUCUGUUCGUCCUGUACGAGAGGACACAAACAUCCAGAUCUUCUGUCUUCAGACACAGAAAACUAAAGAGGACCGAGUGUUUGCUGGGAGGAAUCUGAAACUCUGGAUGAAUCUGCUCGAGUAGGAUCAGUUGAAAACAGGGUCACUCUCCCGCUUUAGGGCAUCGCAUCAGACUACGUUCAAAUGGAAAACAUCUCUCCCACACGCCUGUAAUAUUUUCUUCUGGAGCUGCCAGAAGGUUGGAAAGUGGACGGGGGUUAAGCUGAGGCACGCCACCCCGUCCCUUACUCCUUUUUUCUUGCGGUCAAAAUGGCGGCUAAGGCUCCUUUUCCUGUUAGCUGAUACAGUGACAGCCCCUCCCCCGCCCCAUUCUCCACACUGCCUGCUUUCUAAUCAUUGAUUGGCCAGUUUCACUUGAGGUUGGCGUUGAGGUUUAGGUCGCUGUGGAGCGUCGCAGACAUGGAGGAGGUUUCUGUCUGGACUUCUCUGCAGGCCUCCAAAGGGUUGUGGUUCAAGGCCGACCUCCUGUC